UCACCAAGGCGACGAUGCGUAGCCGACCUGAGAGGGUGAUCGGCCACACUGGGACUGAAACACGGCCCAGACUCCUACGGGAGGCAGCAGUAGGGAAUCUUCCGCAAUGGACGAAAGUCUGACGGAGCAACGCCGCGUGAGUGAUGAAGGUUUUCGGAUCGUAAAGCUCUGUUGCCAGGGAAGAAUGCUUGGGAGAGUAACUGCUCUCAAGGUGACGGUACCUGACAAGAAAGCCCCGGCUAACUACGUGCCAGCAGCCGCGGUAAUACGUAGGGGGCAAGCGUUGUCCGGAAUUAUUGGGCGUAAAGCGCGCGCAGGCGGCCUUGUAAGUCUGUUGUUUAAACUCGGAGCUCAACUCCGAGUCGCAAUGGAAACUGCAAAGCUUGAGUGCAGAAGAGGAAAGUGGAAUUCCACGUGUAGCGGUGAAAUGCGUAGAGAUGUGGAGGAACACCUGUGGCUAAGGCGACUUUCUGGGCUGUAACUGACGCUGAGGCGCCAAAGCGUGUGGAGCAAACAGGAUUAGAUACCCUGGUAGUCCACGCCUUAAACGAUGAAUGCUA
rnacentral:rRNA from 1 species